rnacentral:lncRNA from 1 species
AGCACAUCAUCAGACCAUAAGAAGCUCAUGAGCACUAUGAAGAAGCUUUGUAAAGUCCUUAAAAAGAAAUUAUGUACAAGGACUAUAAAUAUAGAAAGAUCAAGCUUGUUAGGUUGAUCUUAUAAUGUAAUAGAUAGGCUUGUUUGAUCGUCGAGCACUGCACCAGAAAUUGUAGUUUGCCAGGAGAGUCAAGAAAAACUCAAGAGCUAUCAAGGCGGAAUCGUAGUCUGUAAGAUAGUAGAUCUCAAAGUUCGUUGACUGCCAGGAGAGACGAGGAAGGAUCG